AGGAGUCUAACAUAUCUGCGAGUAUUUGGGUGUCAAACCCGAGUGCGCAAUGAAAGUGAACGUAGGAGCCACGCGCAAGCUGCAGCUUCGACCGAUCUGGAUCUUUAGUGAUGGAUUUGAGUAAGAGCAUAUAUGUUGGGACCCGAAAGAUGGUGAACUAUGCCUGAAUAGGGCGAAGCCAGAGGAAACUCUGGUGGAGGCUCGUAGCGAUUCUGUCGUGCAAAUCGAUCGUCAAAUUUGGGUAUAGGGGCGAAAGCCUAAUCGAGCCAUCUAGUAGCUGAGUCCUGC
rnacentral:misc_RNA from 1 species